CAUGCUGUAAACGUUGGGCACUAGGUGUGGGGAUCGUUGUGGUUUCUGCGCCGUAGCUAACGCAUUAAGUGUCCCGCCUGGGGAGUACGGCCGCAAGGCUAAAACUCAAAGGAAUUGACGGGGACCCGCACAAGCAGUGGAGUAUGUGGUUUAAUUCGACGCAACGCGAAGAACCUUACCAAGGCUUGACAUCCUCUGACCGCUGUAGAAAUACAGCUUCUCUUCGGAGCAGAGAGACAGGUGG
rnacentral:rRNA from 1 species